rnacentral:rRNA from 1 species
UACAGGGGGGUGCAAACGUUGCUCGGAAUCAUUGGGCGUAAAGCGCACGUAGGCGGUUCGUUAUGUCGGAUGUGAAAGCCCUUGGCUUAACCGAGGAAGUGCAUCCGAAACUGGCGAGCUAGAGUACGAAAAGAGGAUCGCGGAAUUCCCGGUGUAGAGGUGAAAUUCGUAGAUAUCGGGAGGAACACCGGUGGCGAAGGCGGCGAUCUGGGUCGAUACUGACGCUGAGGUGCGAAAGCGUGGGGGAGCAAACAGG